rnacentral:tRNA from 1 species
GGUUGUGGCUCUGUGGUAGAGUGCUUGCUUAGCAUGCGUGAGGCCCUGGGUUCAAUCCCUGGCACCA